rnacentral:rRNA from 1 species
GAUGAACGCUGGCGGCGUGCCUAAUACAUGCAAGUCGAGCGAACAGACGAGGAGCUUGCUCCUCUGACGUUAGCGGCGGACGGGUGAGUAACACGUGGAUAACCUACCUAUAAGACUGGGAUAACUUCGGGAAACCGGAGCUAAUACCGGAUAAUAUAUUGAACCGCAUGGUUCAAUAGUGAAAGACGGUUUUGCUGUCACUUAUAGAUGGAUCCGCGCCGCAUUAGCUAGUUGGUAAGGUAACGGCUUUCCAAGGCAACGAUGCGUAGCCGACCUGAGAGGGUUAUCGGCCACACUGGAACUGAGACACGGUCCAGACUCCUACGGGAGGCAGCAGUAGGGAAUCUUCCGCAAUGGGCGAAAGCCUGACGGAGCAACGCCGCGUGAGUGAUGAAGGUCUUCGGAUCGUAAAACUCUGUUAUUAGGGAAGAACAAAUGUGUAAGUAACUAUGCACGUCUUGACGGUACCUAAUCAGAAAGCCACGGCUAACUACGUG